rnacentral:lncRNA from 1 species
CUGCUUUUGUUAUUCAAAGGGAGAACUCUGCCACUUGCUUUCUUGGAGAUUCUGCUCAAUUGAAGCCGAGCUACCGUUGACCCCGUCUUCGCCCCUCGUUUGCUCAGCCAUGUUAUCCUAUAGGUUAGUUCUUUAUUAUUUAUCAUGAGUGCAUUGAGUUCGUCCCCAUCCACCUAGAAUUUGGGUGACAAUGUAAGAGGCAC